AGAGUUUGAUCAUGGCUCAGAACGAACGCUGGCGGCGUACUUAACACAUGCAAGUCGGACGAGAAAGGAGACUUCAGUCUCUGAGUACAGUGGCGCACGGGUGCGUAACACGUAAGUAAUCUACCCCGAACUCUGGGAUAACCCUCCGAAAGGAGGGCUAAUACUGGAUAGGGUCCCCGAGGUGUAGACUGCGGGGGGAAAACGGGCCUCUGUUUCAUGCUCGUGGUUUGGGAUGAGCUUGCGGCCCAUUAGCUAGUUGGUAAGGUAAUGGCUUACCAAGGCAACGAUGGGUAGCUGGUCUGAGAGGAUGAUCAGCCACACUGGCACUGAGACACGGGCCAGACUCCUACGGGAGGCAGCAGUGGGGAAUUUUGCGCAAUGGGCGAAAGCCUGACGCAGUAACGCCGCGUGGAGGAUGAAGGCCUUCGGGUUGUAAACUCCUGUCAGGAGGAACGACGGGGAAAGGGUGAUAAACCCUUUCCUCCAGACGGUACCUCCAAAGGAAGCCCCGGCUAAUUCCGUGCCAGCAGCCGCGGUAAUACGGAAGGGGCAAGCGUUGUUCGGAAUCAUUGGGCGUAAAGGGCGCGUAGGUGGUUCUGUAUGUCUACCGUGAAAGCGUACGGCUCAACCGUAUUUUGUCGGUGGAAACUGCAGGACUUGAGGCUGGGAGGGGCUGGUGGAAUUCCCUGUGUAGCGGUGAAAUGCGUAGAGAUGGGGGAGAACACUCGUGGCGAAGGCGGCCAGCUAGACCAGUUCUGACACUGAGGCGCGAUAGCGUGGGGAGCAAACAGGAUUAGAUACCCUAGUAGUCC
rnacentral:rRNA from 1 species